ensembl:lncRNA
GUGCCUUCAGAAUCCAGAAGAGGGUUUUUGAUUCUUAACCAAUGAACUGUCCCUCUGGCCCUGCUUUAAAGCACUUACUGCUCCCCGAAGUUCAGUUCUCAGUGUACAGAUUGGGCGACUUAUAAUCCCCUGGAACUCCUGCCACAAGGACUCCAAUUCCCUGGCUUCUACAAGUGCUGUGUGUAUGCGUGCAGACAUAGACACCUACACAUAAUUAAAAAUAAUAAGAGACAAAUUCUUAAAGCAUCAACAGCUAAGGAUUUUGCUUAUCUCUAGAAGCUAGGCAGUGCCUCGGUGCAUGCUGUGAAAACCAGACCUUGUGCAUUUGUGUCUUCAGCCUUUCUGUCUCUUACUUACCUGGGAGCAGUUACUUAAAAUCCCGGUGCCUCUAUGUUAUCUGUUUAAAGCAGCCACCGCCACUGCUGCUGCUGUUGUAGUCGUCGUCGUCGUCAUCGUUGUCGUGGUCAUUGUGGUUUUUUCAUAGUCAUCAUCAUCAUCAACAACACCACCAUCAUUAUCAUCAUCAUGUCUGUAUCAGAACUUCAUGUGUUUUCUCAAAUAGAGCCUAAUACUCUGCUUAAUAUCCAUGAACACUAUCUUUUAAUGUUUCAUCAUUUAUUUUUUUAUUAUGAGUAUGUGUGAGUAAGUAUGUACAUGUGAGUGUAGGUGCUUGUGGUGGCAUUCCAACCUCCUGGAGCUGGAGUUGGAGGUGGUUAUGAGCCACCAGCCAUGAGUGCUGGGAACAAACCUUUGGGUCUUCUGUGAGAGCAGCUAGUGAUCUUAACCACAGUGCCAUGUCUCCAGCACCCUCAGAAAAUCUCAUUAUGAUUGUUAUAGAACCACUUAGCUAUUCCCUGAGAAAAACUGUUUCCCAACAGCAAAAUAAUAUCAUUUCAGUUGUAAAAUUUGGACAGAGGAACCCUGGGUCACAAAGGCAGGAGGCAGGAGGCAGGAGCAAUACAAGUCUCAAACCACUACAGGAGCAGGACUCAAAAGUGGACCAUGCACAUGAUACAACAUUCUAAGACACAGACUUUUAUUUUCACCAAUCAAGAGAGAAAAGCCAAGGGCUGGUGAGAUGCCUCCAUGGGUAGAAGACCCUGCCACCAAGCUGGAAGCCCUGAGCUUGAUUCCCAGGACCCAUUUGGGAGAAGGAGAGAACCCACUCUUCAAGGUUGCCCUCUGAUCUACAUAUUUAAUCUGUGGUGCCCUUGUGCACACAAAACAAAACAAAUAAUAGAAUUUUUUUUUUGUCUUUUUCUUUUGUUUUGUUUUUUGAGAUAGGGCUUCUCUGUGUGACAGCCCUGGGUCCUGAAAUUCCCUUUGUAGCCCAGGCUGGCCUUAAACUCAGAGAGAUCCACUUGCUUCUGCCUCCCAAGUACUGGUAAGAAAGGCACGUGCCACCAAUACCAGGCACAUUAAAAAUUUUAAGGAGGUAAAACUAAGACUAAGAAUAGAGAUUUUGUCUAAUGUGCUAUUGUUUGUUGUUUCCCAAUGUGGAGGGACUACAUUUGCUCUCACCCAGAACUCUCUACCCUCUCUGGGAUAGGGAGUGUUCAUUUGAAAUAGAAGAAGCUCACUACCCCUCAUCUCCUUCAGCUGGAUGGACCUGGAAACAGCAAGCCAGCAUCUGGACCAACUUGAAUAGCAUCUGGCACACCCACCACUCCCAUAAAUGAACUCUACUACAUUUCAACACGAGAACCUCACCAAAUAAAAUACAAUCUAAUUUAGAUGUGCCA